rnacentral:rRNA from 1 species
UACGUAGGGUGCGAGCGUUGUCCGGAUUUAUUGGGCGUAAAGAGCUCGUAGGUGGUUUGUCGCGUCUGCCGUGAAAGCCCGGGGCUUAACUCCGGGUCUGCGGUGGAUACGGGCAGACUAGAGGCAGGUAGGGGAGAACGGAAUUCCCGGUGUAGCGGUGAAAUGCGCAGAUAUCGGGAGGAACACCAGUGGCGAAAGCGGCUCCCUGGUCCAGCACCGACGUUCAGGCACGAAAGCGUGGGGAGCAAACAGG